rnacentral:rRNA from 1 species
AGUUAGCGGCGGACGGGUGAGUAACACGUGGGCAACCUACCUGUAAGACUGGGAUAACUUCGGGAAACCGGAGCUAAUACCGGAUGACAUAAAGGAACUCCUGUUCCUUUAUUGAAAGAUGGCUUCGGCUAUCACUUACAGAUGGGCCCGCGGCGCAUUAGCUAGUUGGUGAGGUAACGGCUCACCAAGGCGACGAUGCGUAGCCGACCUGAGAGGGUGAUCGGCCACACUGGGACUGARACACGGCCCAGACUCCUACGGGAGGCAGCAGUAGGGAAUCUUCCGCAAUGGACGAAAGUCUGACGGARCAACGCCGCGUGAGCGAUGAAGGCCUUCGGGUCGUAAAGCUCUGUUGUUAGGGAAGAACAAGUGCUAGUUAAAUAAGCUGGCACCUUGACGGUACCUAACCAGAAAGCCACGGCUAACUACGUGCCAGCAGCCGCGGUAAUACGUAGGUGGCAAGCGUUGUCCGGAAUUAUUGGGCGUAAAGCGCGCGCAGGCGGUUUCUUAAGUCUGAUGUGAAAGCCCCCGGCUCAACCGGGGAGGGUCAUUGGAAACUGGGAAACUUGAGUGCAGAAGARGAAAGUGGAAUUCCAAGUGKAGCGGUGAAAUGCGUAGAGAUUUGGAGGAACACCAGUGGCGAAGGCGACUUUCUGGUCUGUAACUGACGCUGAGGCGCGAAAGCGUGGGGAGCAAACAGGAUUAGAUACCCUGGUAGUCCACGCUGUAAACGAUGAGUGCUAAGUGUUAGAGGGUUUCCGCCCUUUAGUGCUGAAGUUAACGCAUUAAGCACUCCGCCUGGGGAGUACGGUCGCAAGACUGAAACUCAAGGAAUUGACGGGGGCCCGCACAAGUGGUGGAGCAUGUGGUUAAUUCGAAGCAACGCGAGACCUUACCAGUCUUGACAUCCUCUGACAAC